AUUUAGCUCAGUGCUACAGCAUUUACCUAGCAUGUAAAAGGACCUGGGUUCAAUUCUCAGGAU
rfam:Ictidomys tridecemlineatus contig069187, whole genome shotgun sequence.